CCUACGGGAGGCAGCAGUGGGGAAUAUUGGGCAAUGGGCGCAAGCCUGACCCAGCAACGCCGCGUGAAGGAAGAAGGCUUUCGGGUUGUAAACUUCUUUUAAGAGGGAAGAGCAGAAGACGGUACCUCUUGCAUAAGCUACAGCUAACUACGUGCCAGCAGCCGCGGUAAUACGUAGGCGGCAAGCGUGGUCCGGAUUUACUGGGUGGAAAGGGCGUGUAGCCGGGCUGACAAGUCAAAUGUGAAAUUCCGGGGCUCAACCCCGGACCUGCCUUUGAAACUGUUGGUCUUGAGUAUCGGAGAGGCAGGCGGAAUUCCUAGUGUAGCGGUGAAAUGCGUAGAUAUUAGGAGGAACACCAGUGGCGAAGGCGGCCUGCUGGACGACAACUGACGGUGAGGCGCGAAAGCGUGGGGAGCAAACAGGAUUAGAUACCCUAGUAGUC
rnacentral:rRNA from 1 species